GUCUACGGCCAUACCACCCUGAAUGUGCAAGAUCUGUCUGAUCUCGGAAGCUAAGCAGGGUCGGGCCUGUUUAGUACUUGGAUGGGAGAACGGAAAGAGAAGGAAAAUGCCAGGUGCUUUGUCA
ensembl:rRNA 5S_rRNA 5S ribosomal RNA